rnacentral:tRNA from 1 species
GCCCCGAUGGCGGAAUUGGUAGACGCGUACGUUCAGGUGCGUAUUUCGAGAGGAGUGCAGGUUCGACUCCUGUUCGGGGCA